rnacentral:rRNA from 1 species
GACGAACGCUGGCGGCGUGCUUAACACAUGCAAGUCGAACGGAAAGGCCCUGCUUGCAGGGUACUCGAGUGGCGAACGGGUGAGUAACACGUGGGUGAUCUGCCCUGCACUUCGGGAUAAGCCUGGGAAACUGGGUCUAAUACCGGAUAGGAGCCAUUUUUAGUUUGAUGGUUGGAACGUUUUUUCGGUGUAGGAUGAGCUCGCGGCCUAUCAGCUUGUUGGUGGGGUAAUGGCCUACCAAGGCGGCGACGGGUAGCCGGCCUGAGAGGGUGGACGGCCACAGUGGGACUGAGAUACGGCCCAGACUCCUACGGGAGGCAGCAGUGGGGAAGAUUGCACAAUGGGCGCAAGCCUGAUGCAGCGACGCCGCGUGGGGGAUGACGGCCUUCGGGUUGUAAACUCCUUUCGCUAGGGACGAAGCUGUUUGUGACGGUACCUAGAGAAGAAGCACCGGCUAACUACGUG